GAGAUUGGUUUUCACUGUUUUGUUUUAUCCUGGUUCAAUUUUGCCUCAACUUGGUUUCACAAAAGCAAAGGCACCUAAGUUACCAUGGAGAUUUAUUCUGUGCAGCUAGCAUGGUUCUGACGAGGCUACCA